AACAACUGUAAUUUAUUCCUAAAGCCAUAUUUUAAAAUAAUUACAUUUUUAAAUGGGAAAAGUCAUAUGAAGAAUUCUGUCCCACCUCAAGAUAACUAAACAAUUUUUCAGUAGAAAAAUAAAUCUAAAAACAGAAAAAAUAAUAAAUAUUUUAAAAGUAAAUAAAUCGUACAUAAAGCGAAGCGCAAUUGAAUUUUGUUGCACUAAUACUUUCUUCCUCUCUCUACACCAUUUUGUUUGCAGAAUCAACCUUUUGAAGGUUCCUGGUUUCCCUGCAGUGAAGCUGUCACUCAAUCACAGGGCCCAGGAGAGAGAGCAGGGAGGGCGCAGGCGCGCAGGGAGGGCUGGGCGAGCGCUCGGCGCUCCGGGGGCGCGGCCUCGGGCUCCGGGGGAGGCAAGCGGGCGGGGUUCGCCGGGACUGACUGCACUCAGCUUCCCAGGGACGCCCCGACCCAAGCCCUGCAGUCCACACGCGUCUGGGGUGUCCGCUGGAAGCCGGGAAGUCGAAGAUCACUUCCCAUCCUGCUUCUGCUGUGCUUUGGGGUUGAAAAAGCCAUUAUGUGGUAAAAAGUGUCUGAAAAGUGGCAAAAGUCUUCAAGGGCCUGAAAAUGACUGAGACAGGAACUGAGAAGCUGGCAGGAGGUCCUGCUACGGCUGCAGGGUCGGCGGGUGUCCUGGGUGGGCCACAUGGCAGGGGCAGCCGUGGCUCCACGCCCACCCCACCCGUGAGGGGCCAAGCGCAGACUCAGGAGAGCCAGAGGGGCCGGGCCCCUGAGCGAGCGCUGGGGAAGGAUCCCAAGCUUGGGGACUUGGGAAUGAAGAUGUGUUAUUUCACCCACCGACUCGUUCCACACGACCAAGGCCUGUGCCUGCCCGGAGGGCGAGUUGGUUGAGCCUUGUACAGUGGACUAUCAGAGCGUGGGCCUGGGCUGAACUUUUCCCUGUGAGCAGCAACAGCAGCAGCGUCUAGAACGACGGCCCUCCCUGUCCACGGUGGAAGGUGCGGAGCUCCGGUGGUGUGCUGGCAGCCGCUCGCGGAAGGGAGAUGGAGGGGCACAGAGCAGGCCCUCACACGGAGUCUUCGAGGUCCAGGGACACCUUCCUCCCAGGAGCGUGUGUGCUCAGUGAUCACCGCCGUAACACAGUCACAGAUCUACGUGUGUUCUCUGACUCAGCUGGGGCUCCAUCGAGGCCUGUUCUGGGCUCACCUGCAUGAGCCCUGGGCUCAGCUUCCUCGUCUGAGAAGCAUCAGGACAGGCCUUCCCACCCCCACGUUCCCAGGGCUUCCACACUCCUUUCUGGCCACGAGUCAGUCCUCAGUGGACGACCAGUGGCCUGGGGUGGGCCCCUGAUUCCCUCACCUGUCCUCAUGGGGCUGAACCUCACUCUUCUCCGCCAAAACCAGCCAAUGAACAAAUAAACAAACAAGCAUGGACUUCCUAAAAA